UUCACGAGCGUGACCGUAACCGACGGCCU
rnacentral:piRNA from 1 species